AAUCCUUAAUGUAAGGGUUUUUUUUCUCAGGCCGUGCUUAGAAGCAGUCGCGCACCUCGGAACAAAGGCCCGCCGCUAACAGCGACAAUAAAACUGAGAAGGGAGUCCGAAAUGCCACAGCUUCUCUGCGAGGCUGACGGAGUUCCCCGCAACGAUCGCUGCGAGAGGCCUCGUCCCACCCGCUCCCUGCAAACCAGACCGGCACGAAAACUGGGAGGGCAGGUUUCUUGCAGCAGGGGCUCGUCCCUCCGCCCUGCCCUGCCCUGCCCUGCCCUGCCCUGCCGCCCGGGCCUGCCGCAGCCGGCACAAGUCGGGGAGAGGCCGCCGUGGCGCCCCGCUGCCGGCUCACCCCGUUUGGCUGCUGGGCAGAAAAAGCGUCUCGAUGGCAAAAGCGGAGCUAACCGGCGGAGGGGAGCCUUGUGCUUUGUGGUGACCCCACGCAGCUGCUACACGAGCCCCUCGGGCUUCCCCCUCUGACGGGGGAGGUUUUGGCUGAUUCAGUUUUGGGCGCCACUGGCAACGGCAGCACGAUCUUGGAGAAAAAAAACCCCAUAGAAUUUAAGUUAAAGGAACAACAACAAAAGAAACGUCCGUUUCUGCUGAGUACAGUUACACCUAGUUUUACUCCUUCAGCGAUGCUCAUUUCCCAUACUUUUGGAUCUAGUCCAUUGAGCCACAGACUUGCAGGCUAAUAAUUUGACAGCUAAGGUGAAGAAAUGAAACAGGUUCAUCCAGUAGAUGCCCACAGUGUAACAAUGGCUCUACCCAGUGGUUUACAAAGGAGCACGGGGAAAGCAACACAGAGAGAUCAGUGGUGCCUGCAAGGUUAUAAUGAAUUGUUAGCAGGUGGGGGACAGCACCAGCGCUUCUGACUGCCAGUCGCCAGGAACCGUUACGACCAAGCUUCCUCUGAUCUACAAGAAGAAAAAGUAACAACUGUUUAGGGGAUGAAUGAAAUUUAUGGAACAACCAACCUUGAAAAACAUAUUCUUGCCCUCCCAUUUUAAUCCUUUUACAG